GUAGGUGGCAAGCGUUGUCCGGAAUUAUUGGGCGUAAAGCGCGCGCAGGCGGUUCUUUAAGUCUGAUGUGAAAGCCCACGGCUCAACCGUGGAGGGUCAUUGGAAACUGGAGAACUUGAGUACAGAAGAGGAAAGCGGAAUUCCACGUGUAGCGGUGAAAUGCGUAGAGAUGUGGAGGAACACCAGUGGCGAAGGCGGCUUUUCUGGUCUGUAACUGACGCUGAGGCGCGAAAGCGUGGGGAGCAAACAGGGAUUAGAUACCCUGGUAGUCACGCCGUAAACGAUGAGUGCUAAGUGUUAGGGGGUUUCCGCCCCCUUAGUGCUGCAGCUAACGCAUUAAGCACUCCGCCUGGGGAGUACGGCCGCAAGGCUG
rnacentral:rRNA from 1 species